GGCUGGUCCAGUGGCAGUGGGUUAUUAGAACUUAUUAACAUUAGUGUCACUAAAGUUGGUAUACCACCCCCCCACCACACUGCUAAAUUUGACUGGCUUUAA
ensembl:misc_RNA Y_RNA Y RNA